UGUCGGUAACGUCAAAGUAGCAACGUAUUAAGUUACUACCCUUCCUCCCAACUUAAAGUGCUUUACAAUCCGAAGACCUUCUUCACACACGCGGCAUGGCUGGAUCAGGCUUUCGCCCAUUGUCCAAUAUUCCCCACUGCUGCCUCCCGUAGGAGUA
rnacentral:rRNA from 1 species